rnacentral:rRNA from 1 species
AACGUAGGAGACAAACGUUAUCCGGAGUUACUGGGCGUAAAGGGCGUGUAGGUGGUUGUGUAAGUUCGGCGUGAAAUCUCUCGGCUUAACCGGGAGUGGUCGUCGGAUACUGCACGACUAGAGGACGGUAGAGGCGUGUGGAAUUCCGGGUGUAGUGGUGAAAUGCGUAGAGAUCCGGAGGAACACCAGUGGCGAAGGCGACACGCUGGGCCGUACCUGACACUGAGGCGCGAUAGCAUGGGGGAGCAAACAGG